rnacentral:rRNA from 1 species
CAGUAGCCACGGUAAAACGUAGGUGGCAAGCGUUGUCCGGAUUUAUUGGGCGUAAAGCGAGCGCAGGCGGUCAAUUAAGUCUGAUGUGAAAGCCCCCGGCUCAACCGGGGAGGGUCAUUGGGAACUGGUUGACUUGAGUGCAGAAGAGGAGAGUGGAAUUCCAUGUGUAGCGGUGAAAUGCGUAGAUAUAUGGAGGAACACCAGUGGCGAAGGCGACUCUCUGGUCUGUAACUGACGCUGAGGCUCGAAAGCGUGGGUAGCAAACAGGAUUAGAUACCCCGGUAGUCCCUGUCUCUUAUAC